CCUAGGCUACCAAGUACGAUUUAAAUAUCUAUCACCUAAACUAUCUAGGCUACUAAGCAGUGUAAGGAAUAUCUGUUAGAUUAUGUUGAACGUAAUCUGCUUUGAUACAAAUUGUUCGCUGAAUAAUUCGGAAUCACUCUGAGAGGAGGGGGAUUUCAACAGAUAACGCACCCCGGCUUUCACUUCAUGCAGAAUAUUCUACAAACACGCAACAAAGAACAGGUGUUCGUCUUAAAGGCAGGAGCCAAAAGCUCCGAAUUCACACAAUUAAAUUGCGCCCCCUGCUGUCAACACAUGGAAGAAACAAGAAUGCUUUCAGAGCCACUGUGCUCUUUAUGAAAACACAGUUCCCAGGCAAUCUGCUGAGAAACAUGGCCUAAUAAGCAGCAGGGCCUUGAUACAAGGCAAUGAUUCAAAUGAAACAUACAGCCAAACCAAGAAAGAGAUGGUUAACAGAAAACGAUAUCAACAGUCGCCCACCCAGCGUCAAGACCUGAAUGCAAUCAACAAUCUAUGGAAGGAGCUAAAGACCAGAGUGAUUUCAGAGUACUUUUGGACAUGGCACUUUUCAUGAAAAUCAAAUCUGAUAAAAUAAAUGAAUAAAUAUA